CCGCCACUUGUUCCCCCCCCCCGGCUUCGCCCCUCCUAUUUCGCCUGAGAGGAAAAUGGCUGGUCACCGGGCGGUUGCGGCGUGAGGUGACGGCGCCGGAGGUCCCUCUCGCUUCCUUCUCCCCCCCCCCCACCUAUCCGCUCGCUUGAGGGGAGACGCUGAGUCAUGGACGAGCAAAGUGUUGAGAGCAUUGCUGAAGUGUUCCGAUGUUUCAUUUGUAUGGAAAAGUUGCGUGAUGCGCGCCUAUGUCCACACUGCUCCAAGCUUUGUUGUUUCAGUUGCAUUCGGCGCUGGCUGACAGAACAAAGAGCUCAGUGCCCUCAUUGUCGGGCCCCACUCCAGCUGCGAGAACUUGUCAACUGUCGUUGGGCUGAGGAGGUCACUCAGCAGCUUGACACGCUUCAGCUGUGCAAUUUGAACAAGCAUGAAGAAAAUGAAAAGGACAAGUGUGAGAAUCAUCACGAGAAACUCAGUGUGUUUUGUUGGACAUGUAAGAAAUGUAUUUGCCACCAGUGUGCUCUUUGGGGUGGAAUGCAUGGAGGACAUACGUUCAAACCGUUAGCUGAAAUUUAUGAACAGCAUGUCACAAAAGUAAAUGAAGAGGUGGCAAAGCUUCGCCGAAGGCUGAUGGAGUUGAUCAGUUUGGUGCAAGAAGUGGAAAGGAACGUAGAAGCAGUACGCAGUGCGAAAGACGAGCGUGUUCGGGAAAUCAGGAAUGCAGUAGAGAUGAUGAUUGCUAGGCUAGACACUCAGCUGAAGAACAAGCUUAUAACACUAAUGGGUCAGAAGACAUCCCUCACCCAAGAAACUGAACUCCUGGAAUCCCUGUUACAAGAAGUAGAGCACCAGCUACGGUCAUGCAGUAAAAGUGAACUGAUAUCAAAAAGCUCAGAGAUAUUGAUGAUGUUUCAGCAGGUGCAUCGGAAACCCAUGGCCUCUUUUGUCACUACACCCGUCCCUCCAGACUUCACAAGUGAGUUGGUUCCUGCAUAUGAUUCGACUACCUUUGUCUUGGAGAACUUCAGCACUUUACGCCAGCGGGCAGAUCCAGUUUACAGUCCACCUCUUCAAGUUUCUGGACUUUGCUGGAGGCUCAAGGUUUAUCCAGAUGGAAAUGGAGUGGUGCGAGGCUAUUAUUUAUCUGUGUUUCUCGAGCUGUCAGCUGGAUUGCCAGAAACAUCCAAGUAUGAAUACCGUGUGGAAAUGGUCCACCAGUCCACUAAUGAUCCUGCUAAAAAUAUCAUUCGAGAGUUUGCAUCUGAUUUUGAAGUUGGCGAGUGCUGGGGUUACAACAGGUUCUUUCGACUGGACUUGCUUGCUAAUGAAGGCUACUUAAACAGGCAGAAUGACACAGUCAUCUUAAGGUUCCAGGUGCGGUCACCCACCUUCUUCCAGAAAUGUCGGGAUCAGCACUGGUACAUUUCUCAGCUGGAAGCUGCUCAGACAAGUGAUGUCCAACAGAUAAAUAACCUUAAAGAGAGGCUUGCAAUCGAGCUUUCUCGUACCCAGAAAUCCCAUGGCAUGUCUCCCCCUGAUACUCACCUCAGCCCACAAAGUGAUGAUGGUCCAGAAGCAAGACCUAAGAAGUCAGGAUCAAACUCUGAAGUGCAUCUUGAGGCUGUGGCCAGCACAGCAUCUGCUAGAGAAGCAAAGGAUGACGAGGAAGAAAAAAUACAGUAUGAAGACUUCAAUCAUGAACUCUCAGAUGGGGACCUUGAUGUCGAUCUUGUUGGGGAGGACGAGGCAAACCACCUUGAUGGCAGCAGCUCCUCAGCUAGUUCCACAGCGACCAGCAACACAGAAGAAAAUGAUAUUGAUGAAGAGACCAUGUCUGGGGAAAAUGAUGUGGAAUACAAUCACAACAUGGAGUUGGAGGAAGGAGAUAUUGUGGAGGAGGCAGCUUCUGCCGCAGCAGGUGCCUCGGGUGGGAGCCAUGGCUACCCCACUGCAAGCAGCCGCAUGUCCAGGAGGGGAGGAAGCGCACUAGGCUCUUCAGCCAGUAGCAGCUUACUUGACAUAGACCCUUUGAUUUUAAUUCACCUGUUGGACCUGAAGGACAGGAAUGGGAUGGAAAACCUGUGGGGCCUACAGCCGCGCCCUCCUGCUUCACUGCUGCAGAACAGAGCAUCCUAUUCUCUAAAAGAGAGGGAUCAGCGGAGGCACCAGGCCAUGUGGCGUGUUCCACCGGACUUGAAGAUGCUGAAGAGGUUGAAAAGCCAGAUGGCCGAAGUCCGCAGUAAAAUGUCAGAUGUGAAGAACCAGCUGUCGGAGGUCCGGAGCAGCAACGCUUCUGAUGGGCCAACUGCUUAUUCGUUUCCUGGUGACCAGGGAACCUUGGCUACUUGUGGGACAGAGAGCUACAACAAGCUGCAAGAACUUGGGAGGGAGCUGCUGACAAAAUCAUCCCUCUCUAGCUGCUACAUACGGAAUUCCACAAAUAAGAAAAUUCAUUCAAGCAAAGCUAGUCGAAGUGGAGCAGCAGGGAGUUUGUCUCUGCGAAGAGCAAUGGAUUGUGGGGAUGGAAAUCUUCACUUGAAGGGAGAUUGUCAGAUUUCCUUUGAAGGUUGCCUGGGAAACCCAAAGCCCAGCAGUAGGCAUGGCUCCCCCAGGUCCUUGACGAAUGGCUGUACCUCAGAGCCAUUGUCUAAGCCUGAAGACAGGCAGUGUGAAGUCUCAGAUUCUGAUGUGGGUGCAUGUGGCUUAAAUGGCAUAAUGCCUGUGGAAAAGGCCAGGAAAAUAGCUGCUGUGGGACCCAAUUCAAAUAGAUGCCGCGUGGAAACAACAGAGCCUGCUGACUUAGAAAACAACACGGAGGCUGGAGAGCUGCAGGUGGUUCUCUCUGAGGGAGCCUCAGCAGGGGCAGAAGAAGCUGGGCUUUGCCAGAAGCACAUCCUUCACCUCCUGCCAGGCAUGAGCAGUGACAGUGACAUUGAAUGCGACACAGAGAAUGAAGAGCAGGAGGAUGGGGAAGCUGCCAGUGCCACUCCGGAUGUCUUCAGCCAGGCUUUCCAGUCCCAGCCUUCAAGUGACGGUAGCCUUUGAGCUAUGCUCAGUUUUUCCUGAGGGUGACCAAACAGGCCCUGAUGACCUCCCUUUUGCCACCGGAAAGGACGGCAGCACAAGGUAGAGCAUGAGGUAGCAGGGGCUACCCGAAGUUGGAUUAGCAUUCAUUAGCCUGUUGAAGGUGGCUGGAUGAAGCAUCACAGGGUCCCGCUUAAUUCACCUGCAUUGUUUCUGGUAAUGCCUUGUGCACACUUCCUUGCUCCUUCCAGUCCUUUUCCUGCUGAAAAUCUAGCUGUACUUGCUUUUCUGAUCCUGCUUGGUGUCAACCUGCACCCUGCGUGCCUCUAAAAGGUGCUGGAGCCUCAGCCUUGCUCUUCAUGGCUGAGGAGUUAGGGAGAGGGAGAAGGGGAAGGGAAUGCCCACCCCACCUUUAUUUUUAAGUGAAUUGAACUGACACUAAAGCUGUUACACUUCUGAUUCCUGAGCUACUUACAGUGAAAUGCCUCUAUCCAUGAGUCUCUCCUCUCUCCCCUGCCCCCUCCCCAUUAGUCCAUUUUUGGCCAGUUGAAAACACUUGUUGCCAAACUCUUUUGCCACUGUGCAUUGCAUUUGAGCUGCUAAAGGUGUUCUGUGAAGCUAAGCUGAAUUGGCUGUUUUCUUUUAAGCAUGAGUUACUGUAUAAAUGUUUGUUGCGUCCUCCUGAAUGUUGUACUUAAUGGAAGGAUUUAUUCUUAAAUUGUUGUUUUAACUGCUGUAAAAAUUCAUAUAGUUCAGAUGAAAAUGGUUUGCACUUUUAAUUAAUAAAAUGAACAUGGAAAUGACA